rfam:Dipodomys ordii contig_10990, whole genome shotgun sequence.
GGGAAAGUGGCUCAGUGGUAGAGAGCUUGCCUUGCAUGCAUGAGGCCCUGGGUUCGAUUCCUCAGCACCA